rnacentral:lncRNA from 1 species
GAGUACAUGAAGUUGGUUAUAAUAAGAAUCAAGACACAAAUAAUAGAGUAUCGGUGGCCCGUGUGAACUGGCUGCUGACUCUGUAAUCCAACAGCACACCUGAUGAUUGAUAACAGACUAUAAAAGAAUAGAUAAUUAUGAACUCUGUACUUCAUGACUAUGAAUCUGGCUUUCUAUCCUAUCAAUAUCUCCAGGGACUGGCUUGACGUUCUGGCUUUAUACAAAUGCUGGUCAAUGUUCCCAAUCAGACACUGCCCUAUGAACUACUGAGUUGGUUCUAGCCUUGUCUUAGCUCUCUACAAUCACGAAUUUAGUGGCUUUAAAUGCUAAACAAUGUAUUACUUUACAGUUUUAUAGGUCAGAACUCUGGUGGGAUCUAGAGUCAGAUUCCUUUUUCUUGCUCAUUCAGGUUGUUAGCAGAGUUCAGUUCCCUUCAGUUGUAGAAUUAAGGUAUCAAUUGCUUUGCUGUUUGUCAGCGGAGGGCCAUUCCAAGCUUCUGGAGAUUACCUGCAUUCCUUGGCGCAUAGCCACUGUCUUUCAUCUUCAAAGCCAGUAACAGCAGAUAGAAUUAGUCUCAUGCCUCUUCUUUUGUCCUAGCUCUGUCUCUCUAUAUACCUGGACCUUGCCAGGAAAAAGUGUUGCUUUUAAGGACUUAAUGUGAUUAGAUUGGGCCCACCUGAGUAAUCCAGGCUACCCUCCCCAUUCCAAGGUCUGUAAUCUUAAUCACACCUGCAAAACUCCCUUUUUACUGUACAAGUUCGUGUAUUCAUAGGUUGCAAGAAUUAAGACAUGAACAUUUUUGGGAGACAAUUAUUCUAACAGAAGCCUACUAUGUAACAUUGGCUUAUUUUAGUUGGGUUUAUUAGUUGCAAAAAGAGAAUAAACUAGGUACAUUGGAGUAGGAAUUCAUUAGAUGAGAUAAACUAGACCUCGGAAGUCCCAGGAGGGCCAGACAACUGAGUUUAUAGAGUAAGCCAACAGAAACAAUAUCCAAACCACACCACCAAACUACUCACAGGUCUGAUUCUAACAGAGGCAUUUUAAACCAUGAACAUGAAUUCUUACCCUUGGCAAUCCUGUCACAGGUGCUUCUCAGACUCAAUGUCUUUGCCAAACCCUGCCAUACUCACCAGGUAUGAUUUCCUUAAAAAAAAAAAAAAAAGU